UCUAGCAUCGUAGUGUGCACGGCAGUGCGCGCGUCGUGUGCCAGCAAACGUCGUCGCUGACGGGAAUGUCAAGAAAUUGCGUUGUACGAAAUGUGUGCAAAUUCCCUCGGGAACCUCGGGAACUGUGGGGCGGUAGGAGGAGAAGGAAAGCGGGGGAGAAGGGGUGGCGCGUUAGGCAGAGUGUGUUAUAUGCCGGUACACGCGGGUGGGGCUGUGUGCGAUGAUCACACAGAAUGAUGCUGUCGAUGUGUUGGUGAUGAAAUGGGACGGUUCUUCGUGUGCGUGUGUGCUUGUGUCUGUAUGCGCGUUCGUUAUCCGUGUUGGACCCGGGCUUGGAGUAGGGAUUGGAUGUUGUUUGUUUUGUUCCCGCACUCAACCAUCGUCAGCCGAAUGGAGCAGAAGCGCCGUGGCCCUAGUAGCAGCAGCAGCAAAGGGUUGUCGCUCGCCUGCCGGGUUCACCUGUGCGCGGUUGCCGUGUGGUGUUGGCUGCUGCUGCUGAGCGAACACGCCAAUUAGUCGACCGACGUACACCGGACGUGCGUGGCUACACUGGAACCAAACAUUAGCUUCCAAGCGAUUAACCGAGUGUGUGCAGUGUAUUUUUACUUUGUUUCUGUGCUUUGUUAAAUUAAAAAAAGGCUUCGUGUGUGACGUUAUUUUGAGCUGCUUUAUCGAUGGAACUCCCCUAUCGCUGCCCACAUGUGUGUUUGUGUAUGUGAUGUGCCAGUGUGCUUUAAAAGGAGAAAAAUGCCCUCUAAAAAACAGGCGAAUUUAAACAAAGCAAAAAUGUGGUGCAAAAAAGUGCAAAAUACUCAUACGCCCAUUAGAAUGCUGUGAAAUGAGGUGUAGCGUGGUGUGAUAGUGUUAUAAAACUGCACCUCUCCCCAUGUAACGUUUGCCGUGUGCGUUUCAAUGUGCAACAAAGGAAAGGAACACAAUUCCAUCGCUCGAUUGAAAUCGAAAGCCAGCAGCAGUGCGCAUAGGUAAAGGACGGUUUCGAUCGAUUUCGUAUCACCUGAUCCCGGUCCUUCACACGGUGUGCGAGAGGAUGCACAAAAAUGCACCACCCCACCCCUGGCCUGCACACUGCACUUCUCGCUGGUUCAGCUGCGCAUUGGAAAAAAGGGAAAGCUCCGUUGCCGUUGUUGCUGCUCGCUCUGGCGUUACUGAUGGCAUAGAGCGACGAGUGUGAGCGAGAGUGAUUGUACAAAACACAACCAAACGAGCAGAGACAGGAUGGAGGCGAAUACAUUUCGCUAACAUCAUAAAAUCAUUUUGGCACUCUUCCCGCGGCGCUAAAGAUAUCAGUGCUUAGAAAUGGCAGAAAGGAAAGUCAUCUUUGGCAGAUAAUUAGCAAACAGGCAGCCAGCAACGGAGCAGACCGCACCAGCACAUGCAACGUCGUGCAGGGUAAGUACAUGCUCUAAUAAUUGCACACUAAAUAUGAUUCCAAAUCGAUAUGGAUUGAAGGGAGCCUUUUUAAUUACAUUCAUCAUCGUGCCGUUUUUCACGGGUAGUUUUUUGAUCAGAUUGUGUUGAAUGUGCUUUCAAUUUAAAAUUUUAUAUUUGCAAAUAACUUCCAAUUGAACGUUUUUACGAUGCCUGUUACAGCUACUGUAGCUGUUGCUACUGCUGCUGCUACUACUACUGCUGCUGGUACUCUAAGACGAAUAGUUAUUAGUUCUGUUUAUUAUUUCAUGUUUUAAAGCAUUAAUCGAAACAUUAUUCAAAUUAUUUUCAAGAAGUUGACGUGACGAACAGAACAACCGAUCUUGGCUUAAAAAAAGAGCAAUUUUAAGAUGAUCUGUGAGAUAUUUCAAUCCCAUUUACUACAUGAUUGGAACGUGCCUGUUGCUAAAACUAUCGCUGAAAGCCGACACUAAACGCAGCUCUUUAAGCAUUUUGCAAACAUACUACAACCGAUCAGAUACGAUCAGAUUGAUUCAGCAUACUUCGCUUUGGUGCCAUUUGUACCGCAUGCACUACGCCGGAGAAAGUGUUCCUAAUGCUAAUGCGUCCUCCGUUGCGAGCAGUGACGACAAAAACGGGCGUGAGACUAGACAAGCGGCCGCACUUGUGUGUGUGUGUGUGUGUGUGUGUGUGUGUAUGUGUGUGUGUGUGUGUGUGUGUGUG